GAAUAGAAAGAUGCAGGAAAAUAAAGGUGGUCUCUUGUGCGCAGGGGCGAAGACCCCUCUUUCAGGGCGCCGUAUGCCUAUUUAUGGGGUUGCCCUUGCGUUUAGUUAUUGUUACUGCACGAUCGGCCAUUAUCUCCUAAUUUGUAGGACCACCUCCGGUCGAUUGGAACUGCUCAUAACGGCUUGCGGUUGCUACGCUUUUUGAACAGACGUGGCUCAUAUCUUCUGGCGCGUCUUCUAUACUCCCGGUCCACCAUUUUGACAUGGACCAUGGAUGUAGUCCCGGCUUGCCAGCUGACCGCGCCUAAUUGGCUCAACAAUUGCCUCCUCGCCAGUUUUCGAAGCGAUGCUUCGGUAGCUGGCGUUACCCUUUUCAUCUCAAACAACUUCCUAUUGCCGAAAGCGAGCUUGAUCCGAGGCGUAUUUCUCGGUCCAAUCAAAUUCAAAUUCUCUGACAUAAUCUGCACCACGAUCUUCUAUACGGUUUAAUCUAAGCCGUUCAUUUUUUCUUGACGGCUCCGAUCGUAUUCCCUACUUUUGUCUUAUGUGCAGCAUUAAUUAGGUUUUAAUUGCCGCCGUCUAUUCAUCAUUAUAGCCGACCUCGGGACUCGUAGUCGAUGCGAUAGUUCGAUACGACGGCCUUUUCUUCUUCCCCAAGCUUUUCAUUCUUUUGUCUCUUCUAAUUCUUAUUUCUUUUCCUCGUCUCCUUCACUAAGAUCUCUUUUCUGUCUCUUUACUUUUCGUAACCGAAUCUCUCGGCUCUUCUCUUCUUUUGAACAAUGUCUUUGGUUCCUCCUCUUCCUUCUCAUCCAUCUCUUGACUAUACUAUACUCAAACCUUUUGUUGACUCAGACCCCUCCAGAUUUAUUUUGGGUCCUUCUCUUACAGAGGUGCCAGCCCUUAUCAACUCGCCCUUUUCUAGCGACGGUCUUCCCCUGAAAAAAGCUAUUCAUCUUCAGUCUUGGUACUCUUCUGCUUCAACAGGGAAAAGUCUUCGAACUUGGCCAAGUAUUUCAGAAGCAUAUUUAACUUGGUUAGAUCGAGUAGAAGCCGCUUUUGGUGAUUUUUGGCGAGAGGUUGGGAUAUAUGAAGCUAUUCAAUUGUCUCGGCAUCCUCCUAUUGCCGAUAAUCUUCUUCUAGCCGCCGCUUUGUGUUUUUGGUCCCCCGCUUCUAAUAUUUUUCUUUUCAAAAGAGGACCUCUUACCCCUACUCUUUUUGAUGUAGCCGCCAUUACCGGCUUGCGCCCUCAUGGUGUUUCUGUUUCUCUGUCUUAUAAUCCUGACGGCGUAUCUGAAUUUGAGGAUCGUUUAGACCUCAAUGACUUGGCUUACUCCAAGUUCAUCUGCAAAUUCGCAGGUGAACCCCCUGCUCCCGUUACUAAGAACGAACAUACAACAUUUCUCCUUUAUUGGUUAUGUCAUAAUCUUUUCUGCACUCGUUCACAGAAAAUUAAUCGUGACUUUGUUCCAAUCGCCGUCGGUUUGUCUAACGGCGAUAGAUUAGCUCUAGGACCUUACUUUCUUGCCUUUGUCUAUAGAGAAAUUUUUGAUUCUCUCAAAAUAUUACCUUCCGGAGAUGGUAUUGUCAUUAGUUAUGGCUGCGGUGUCUUCUGGUUUCUUCAAAUGUUUUUACAAUUUUAUAUUCCUGCUUUGUGCCAGUCUCCUUUCAACUCGACUUCGGUUGCUCAAUUCGAUUCUUAUGGGUUAGCUCUCGGCUGUCCACAGCCGAUGACUCUGGGUCAACCCUAUGAUUUUCUUACUUAUUUUAAAACUUUUUAUGAGCCGAGUCCUGAAUCGGCUGUUUCUUGGGCUCCUUUCGCUGACCGUCUUACUGGUCCUUCUUGGUUUCUUGCCCGAUUUGAAGCCAUCCGGGAUGAAUUGGCCUCUUCUCGUGCUAGUGAAUACUUAGAAGUAUGGUAUUCCUAUUUGACUCCGAGGGAUCUUCAUGUGGGGUUGAAAUCGCGCUCCAAACUAUUACCAUGCACUGAAGCUUAUUCCCCCCAGUAUGUGGCCCGUCAGUUUGGGUUUGUUCAGCCGAUUCCCGCUCAAUCAAAAUUUUUUACAAUUAACACAGCCGAUCAUCGGCCCCCUACUAAAAGCAUAGCCGAAGCUGAUAAGAUUUCAGCUAUGGGAAACCGCCUUCGUCAAUUCUUUAAAUUGGUGAGCUUCAGGCCGAACUACACAGGAGUUGCUCUUGCUGGUUAUGCUACGGUUUGGGACCGUUUUACGGACAGUACCCUCGACCUUUCUCUUCUCCGGGCAUUCCGAAGAACUAUUCAUCCAACUGUUCCAGUUGAUCCUCCCGUCUCACCAAUAGAAGAAAUAGAAGAGGUUUCUGAGGUUAGACUUCUUUCUUUUGUAAUGUAUUCACUUCUUUCUUUUCAAUAUUCUAAAUUUUUUUUUUCGCAGUCAACUCCAACUUCUUCAUCGGUCCCAACUUCAAAUAAGAGACCGACUGAGACUGUACAAGUUACUCCUCUGCCGACUUCGAAACGGUGUAAAUCAGUUGCUAAACGGCAAUUUCGACAAGUCGAAGGUGCUCCUUCGGCUGAUAAUUUAGAAGACAAAGCCGAAGAUAUACCUUCGGCCUCAAUCCCAACAACAAGAACCAAAGACAUACCUUCGGCUAAUAUUCCAUUAGAGGAAACUGUUCUGCCUUCCUCAGCUACGGAACAAAGCUAUGUCCCGACCGAAACAAUUGAUAUCGGGGUACGUCAAGUUAGUUGUCAGUAAGCAGAUUUUAUAUUUCUUCAUCUAUUUAUCUUUUUCUUUUAAUUCGCUCACAGUCUUCUCCUGAAAGAGCUCAUUUUCCUCAUUUCUCAAGACGCAGAUGGAACGGCAGCUUCGCAGGGAAUCCCGUCUUGAGAAAAAGAGAGAGAUGGAAAAGAAGAAGAAAUCUGUUGAAACGGCAAGCACAACGCCGUUACCCAGUGAGGUCGCAUCACCUCGUUCUGCUCCUGUCCCAACACCAACUACAGGAGACGAACGAAUAAACAUACCUUUUGGGCAAUCUUCUAGAGAUGAAAGUGCUGUACCUCCCCGCUCGACCCAGGAAACUUCUUCUCCUAUUUCUGAUGACCCUCUAUCUGCAACUCUUCAUUCCUUUUUGAUUUCAAGCCCCAGUUCUACCGAGGGGGAUGAUUCUUCAACUGUUAUCAUUUCAUCGGACACCCGAAGCAAGUUCGAUGAAUGUCUUAAAAUAUAUGGCGCCGGUAUUCCUGGUUUGGCUCAAAAUCCAGAACAAUUUGAUCGGCUAUACGCCCUUUUACUUGAUUUAAUCGAUCAAACAGAUGUUACUCCCGGCAUAAAAUAUUUUGUGGCAACCUUAUCACUUCAACUUUCAUCUUUUUUGGCUCGGCAGCAAUCUUUAGGCGCCGAACUUGUAGCUAUAGAUCAACAUUUUUAUCGUGUUGAUCAUUUUAAGAAAAAUAUCCUUGAUAUAGCAGCUCCGAAUACUGAGGUGCAUCGAGAGGAUAAAGAAUUAGCUGAUCAAGAAUCGGCUCUGCAAAAGCGAAUCUUCACUCUUAAGGAAGAAUUAGCAGCAGCCGAAUCUACUCUGGCACAAACCUCCGAACGCCGACUUCAACUAAGAGAUUAAUUGAAGUCUAAAAAGGAAGAAGGGAUAAGGCUUAAAGAAGAGCUUUCGCAACUUUACAAAGUACAUCCUCUGAUGAAGCGCCGAAGGAAAGCUGCUGAAAUUGCCCAAGCCAAUCUCAUAGCCGAAUGGAACCAACUCAGAGAUUUAUUGUCUUGAUUCGGCUUGUAAUAUUCUAACUCUGACCUUGAUUGUGCUCCCACAUGGAUGGGUAAUAUUUCUUUAAAUAUUUUCCGUUGAUUAGUUUUUCACCUUCUGACCCAUCUCUGUUUUGCAAAUAAUACGCAUUCCCACUUGUGAUUCGGCUAAUCUGGAAUGGUCCUUCCCAGUUUGGAGACCAUUUCCCAUACACUCGGUCUUUCUGACCGACUGGAAAAACCAGCCGAAGUACUAAAUCACCAACGACAAAUGUUUUUAAUCGAACUUUCUUAUUAUAUGCACUACGUACUCGGCUUUGGUACGGUUGCAUAUUAUCUAAAGCUAUCAACCGAGUAUCUGUUAAUUCCUCUGCUUUGUCUUUCAUUAACUCGCUAUAUUCAUCAGCCGAAAGAUUUUUUUAUUUUUCUAUCCUUAAAGAAGGAACUGUUAUCUCGGCUUGGAUUACAGCCUCAUGGCCAUAAACUAAUUGGAAUUGUGUCAUCCCUGUUGCCGUUUUCAUUGAAGUUCGGCAUGCCCACAAUACUUCGGAAAGCUUUUCAUUCCAUUUUCUCGGAUACUUUCCGAUAUGUCGCUUCAUAAGGUUGAUGAUUAUUUUAUUUGCUGCUUCCACUUGUCCAUUCCCUUGUGCAUAAUAAGGCGAGGAAUGAAGCAACUUUAUCUUUUGAGACUCGAUGAACCGAACGAACUGCCCUCCUGUGAACAUUGUUCCUUGAUCGGUUGUGACUAUCUCGGGAAUUCCAAAGCGAUGAAUUAUAUGAUCUUCUACAAAAUCGGUAAUUUCUUUUUGAGUAACCAACCGAGUAGGUUUGGCUUCCACCCAUUUAGUAAAAUAAUCGAUGGCUACUAUCAGAAACUUGUGACCAACCGAGGAAUUCGGUUGAAUUUCUCCAAUUAAAUUCAUGGCCCAUCCUCGGAAAGGCCAUGGUUUAAUUAUGGCGUACAUCUCUGAGGCAGGAACCCUCUGUAUCGAACUAUGAAAUUGACAUUCUUGGCAACCCUUGGCAUACUCUAUGCAAUCUUGAUGCAUAGUCGGCCAAUAAUAUCCUAGGUGCCGAAUUGUCCAUCUUAACUUUUUUCCCGCUAGAUGGGUUCCAUAUAUUCCUUCAUGUGUUUCUCCGAUUACCAAUAGAGCUUCUUCAGGUCCUAAGCAUUUUAAUAGAACUUCUUCGGCUGUUCUUUUGUAAAUUUGACCAUCCAACAAACAAUAGCCGAGCGCUCUUCUUCGAAUAUUAUAAUCGACCCUUAUAUUAGGACCCUCCAAAUAUUUGAUCAAUGAUUUUCUCCAAUCUUUUUUCACUUCUAUAGGAGCUAUAAUUGGUUCUCGUAUAUGAACCGAAGGUAGUAAUCUCCUCUGUAUUACUAUUAGCUCUGACUUCGGCUCUUUGUAACCUGAAGCCGAUUGGGCCAAUUCAUUUGCCUUUUUAUUUUCCUGUCUGCUCGAAUGUUCAAAUUCGGCUUCUCCGAAAUUGCAUAAUAAUUCUAUUGUCUUCUUCAAAUAAUUUUGCAAAUUCGGAUUCUCACAUCGGUAGUCCCCGUUAACCUGCUUGAUUACUAACUGUGAAUCACCGAUGACUUUGAUUGAUUUUGCUUUCAAUUCUUGCAAUAUUUCAAGGCCGAUUAUCAAGGCCUCAUAUUCAGCUUGGUUGUUAGAACAACCGAAAUCUAGUUCAAAUGCAAAUUGACAAACAUAACCUUUAGGAGAUUGUAUCACUAUCCCUGCUCCUGCAGAUUCAGUUAUCUUUGAACCGUCAAAGUACAACACCCAAGGUUGGCAGCCGAUUAAAUUUUGUUUCGGCUCCUCGAUCUCUACACAUAGGUGGUCAGCUAGAAAAUCGGCUAUAGCCUGACCUUUAACAGCUUUGGCGGGAACAUAAUUAAGAGAAAACUCGGAUAAAGCUAAUAUCCACUUUUCGAUCCGCCCCCUUUAUACCGGCUUAGAUAACAUAUAUUUUACUAAAUCGGUUUUGCAUAUUACCGAUACUUCAGUCGACAAGAUAUAAUAUCUCAAUUUUGUGCAUGCAUAAUAUAAAGCCAAACAUAAUUUUUCUAUAGCCGAGUACCGUUUUUCUGUAUCUAACAGACGUCGGCUUAGGUAAUAAAUGGCCUGUUCUUCCUUCUCUUCAUUUUCUUGAGCCAACAAACAUCCCAAAUUUUUGUCUGCAGCCGAUAUGUACAACUUCAUCGGCUGAUUUGACUUUGGAGGUACCAGUACCGGAGGAUUUGAUAAAUAUCUUUUUAUAUUUUCAAACGCCUCUUGCUGUUUCUCCGUCCAAAUAAAUUCUUCUUUGUCUUUAAGCCGAAGUAAUGGAGUAAAAACCUCUAUUCUUCCGGCCAAGUUGGAUAUGAACCGCCGAAGAUAAUUAAUCUUUCCCAUCAAACUCUGUAAUUCUUUUUUGCUUUUUGGCGGCGAUAAUUCUAAUAUUGCUUUCGCCUUAUUUUUAUCAAUUUCGAUCCCUUUUUUAUGCACUAAAAAUCCUAAAAAGUUUCCUGCAGAAACUCCGAAAGCGCAUUUCAAAGGGUUCAUUUUUAAAUUAUAUUUUCUCAUUCUUUCAAAGGCGGCCUUAAAUCAACCCAAUGUUCGGCUUGUUACUUGGAUUUGAUAACUAUAUCAUCGAUAUAUACUUCCAAUAUUUUGCCGAUUAAGUCAUGAAAAAUAAACUUCAUUGCUCUUUGAUAAGUAGCUCCGGCAUUCUUUAAGCCGAACAACAUAACAACCCAUUCAAAGGUUCCAAUUGAAUCGGGGCAUCUAAAAGUCGUUUUAGCCACAUCUCCCUCAGCAAUAUAAAUUUGAUUAUAACCAGCAUGUCCAUCCAUAAAGGACAGAAUUUCAUUACCAGCAGCCGAAUCUACUAACAUAUCAGCUAUUGGCAUUGGAUACUCGUCUUUAGGUGUAGCUAAAUUCAAGUUCCUAAAAUCGAUACAGACUCUAAGUUUGCCAUUCUUUUUACGCACUGGAACUAUAUUAGACACCCAAUCAACAUAACGGGCCGCUCUAAUAAAUCCGGCCUUUAAAAGAUUUCCGAUUUCAUUUUUAAUUUGGAGUACAAUACUCGGCUCAAACCUACGAGCCGGUUGUUUAAAAGGCUUGAACCUUGUUUUGAUGGGCAACCGAUGCUCUACAAUCUCUCGGCUUAGAUCUGGCAUUUCUUCAUAAUGCCAGGCGAAGCAAUCCUUGUACUCCUUCAACAGCUUCUUCAAUUCUUCCUGUUGUUGAGCCGACAGCUUGGAACUUAUAAACGUCGGCCUGUUGUCUUCAUAAGACCCCAGGUUUACUUCUAUCAACAAAUCCUGGGUCUCCAGCUUUUUCUCGUCGGCUUUAAUAGACAAUUCUUCUAGUUUCAUUCCCGCUGUUUGCCUAUUCAUCUCAUAUGAUUUAUUGGUCUCCAUGACCGAUUUCGUCUGACCUUUUUCCUCAGCUUUAUGAACCGAGUCUUUUAUGACUUUCUAGGCCUUAUUGGCCGAAUUGUCAGGUGCCAAUACAUCGGCUUUGGCAGCCGAAUCAUUCUCAUAGCCGAUCUUGUUGAUCGGCUCAUCUUGUUGAGGCUUGUGCCAAGCCUCUAUUCCCGAUUUUUGGGACUCCAUUUUAACCAUCUUGGUGGCUCUUCAUUAGCCACCAUAGCAUUGAUAUCUUUAGAGAGAAUUAAUUGAAUCCCCUCAUCCGUUACUCUUACAAAUGAAAUCUGAUCUGGAUCGGCAUUGGCCCAAUUGGUGUGGCCGAUGUCCUCCAUGUUGACAUCUAUCAUUUGAGGCCGUCCCUCGGCCCGGAUUUCUUCUACCUUGUCUUCUAUCCACUGGAACAGUUUUCCGCGGAGUGUAGAGGGUACGCACUCAUUCGAGUGUAUCCAAUCUCGUCCUAAUAACAAAUUGUAGUGGCUAUCUGCAUCCACUACAAAAAACGCUGUUUUUAAAGUUUUUGAGCCUACCGUGAGUUCGGUGGUGAGCACUCCUCGAGCUUGUUGACCGUUUCCUGUGAAAUCGGUCAUGAUGGAAUCGGUGGGCUUCAAUUCAUUUUCAUCUUUGCCGAACUUCUUGAAAAAGGAAGUAGGCAUCACAUUGACCAUGGCGCCGCCGUCUACCAUAACUCGGCCUACCGGCCGGCCUUCUAUUAAAGCUUUUAUAAAGAGAGGCCCUAUGAACCUCGUCUGCAUGGCCGAUGGUUUUUCAAAAACCACUGCAUCGGCCUGUUGAACAUCCUCAAGCUGCAAUUGGGCUACUGUAAGCCCAUUUUUUUCUUCUUCUCUAAAUUCCUCGUACUCAACAAACUCUGCUUUGAAGGAUUGAGGUAGAGCGUACACCAUAUUCACCUCGGCCGGUGAUUCAUCAGCCGAUUUUCCUUUGAUUCUCUGUUUCUUCUCUUCUGACUCCUUGGCCGUUUCGGCUGAAGAGUCGCUCUCCAUACGGACCUCCCUCUCCUUAGGAGGCCAUCUUUCUCUCUUGAUCAUUAUCUCGAGGGAAGCUAUUUUAUCUUCUAACUCCCUCCUGGUCAUUUUUUCUUCUAACUAGGCCUCGGUUGGCCGUUCUAUUCUUGACUUCAAUUGAAGGGUAGGCGAUGAGCCGCCUGCCUCAUGGUCAUUUCUCAUUGGACGGAAAGGGUGUGGUCGCUCAUCAGGGCGUCUCCAUACAUUGAGCCUCAUCCCUUUCGCUUCUUCAUAAUUUUGUCUUGCUUCGGCUUGCAUCCUCUGCUGCCGACGCUUCUGAGUUUUUGUUAACAUCGGCCCCUGCCAUCUGGCCGAUGGUUUAACUUCGACUUCGUGCCAUUCAUCCACUGGCACGUUUGCUAGUACUUUUACCGUUCUUAAAUAAUUUUUUAGAAUUUCUCUUCUUUCCCAUGGUCUCGGCCAAGGCUGAAUGCCGAGUUCGUUGACUAGCCUUCGACUGAGGAAUUCUAUGUCUCCCUCGGUCAUUCCUUCAAAUUCCGGUUCUGGUCUCGGCCUGGCUUAUUGUUGCCAAUGUGGCCGAUAUCCAGGGAACCUUUGCUUGGAGCCGAAUGGUCUAUCCUGGUAGUCCCAUCGGCCAUGACGUUCUCCACGCCUGUUGUUGUAGUAAUCAUGCAGAAUCUUCUGCAUCAGCAUAUCUUUCUUACGUUGAACCGAAUCUACUUCCGGUUUAGUGUCAUUGGAAGCUUCGCCUGAGCCUCCUUCUUCUUGAUCCUCACCAUCAGGAAUGUCAUCCCAUUCCUCCGGGAAUGCCAUUAACUCGUUCCAUUCGUUGCCCCUUUUCUUGGCAUUCACAAUGGCUUCCCAGUCUUUCUUCGUCAUUUCGGCCUUGCAUCUUAUGCAGAGACGAAGAUACUUUUUGGCAUGGACCACGUUGUCUGCGGUCUCCUUGUCCAAAAUCUCUUUUCCCUUGACAUUCACCAUAUUAACCUGAAAUGGAAAUGAACUUCUGUUAAUUAUUUGAUUUUCGUCUUCUUGGUCGGCCAUUAUGAGCCGACCUUCUUCUAUUUCUUCUUGGAUCUGCCUUUUUGCAGUCGCUUUUCCUUUCCCUUUCAUGUUCACGGCGUUGACCUGUGAUGGAAAAGGAUUCUUAUCAAUUUUCAUAUCUUUAUUUUUGUAACAUACCACAUCCCUCGUAAGUCGUGCCGAGUUCCGUCAAAACGAGCGGAACGCGGAAUUGAACGAGUUACAGUGGACCCUAAGUGCAUUGGAGUUCAUAAAUGGAGCAAAAAGGGACCCGGAGAGCAAAUCUGGAAAAUCUGGCUAAGUCCCAGAUUUUGAGCUCUCGGGGACCGGUCCCUGAAGGAGAGACCGGUCCCCGUACGCGUAGCCUGCCAGGAAAUCCUGAGNUGCUAGGACGGGAGUAGUCCUAGGAUGGGUGACCCCCUGGGAAGUCGGGGCGUCACAAUUUUCUUGGUCGGCAAAGCUCAACCGACCCUCAUUUAUUUCUCUUUGAAUUUGCCUUUUAAAGGCAGUACAAUCACUAGUUUUAUGGCUCCAUGAAUGGUGCCAUUUGCAGUAUCUUCUGCGUUUCAGUUCUUCUACAGGAAGUAUAGUUUGGCCUUCCUGUAGUUUAAUUCGUCUAUCCAUUAAUAACCGAUCGAAAAUAAGAUCGGUCUUAGCUAUGUCAAAUGAAUAACUAAACGCUGAUAUUUGUGCUUUUGCUUCUCUUGACUUUGCAGGUUUUAGCAAAGCACAUUUGUAUGGUUGACUAUUUCUCACCAUCUCGGCAGCACAGAUUUCGGCUUCAUCAGCCGAAUCUUCUGCCUCCUCAGAUGAAUUCGGCUCUUCAUGAGCCGAGGAUUCUUCAAAGAAAGAAAUAUUUUUCUCUUUCCUUUUAUUCUGAUCUUUGUUUCGGCUCCAUCUAGGCCGAUCUUCAUUGUUCCCUUUUCGAAAUUGCUCGUACUGAGCAACUCGAACUCCCAAAUCAAAAAGAUUUGGAAAGAACUUAUCCUCAAAAUGAUCUUUAAUCUUAAAAUGCAUGCCGUUAAAUGCCAUUUGGCAAACUCUGAUUCCGGCAUCCUUACAAAGCAUCGGCUUCGGGCCGUCUUGACUCGGUUUAAAUAUUCAUCAACCGAUUCUCCUGACAACUCCGGCUCGGUUCUAUAAAAUUGCUCAUGAAAUUUACCUUCUAAUUCGUCCCAGUCUCGAACGAAAUUAGCAGGUAGACUUGUAUACCAAGUGAAGGCUGUCUUGGUCAGUGAAGUAUUGAAUAGCCUUAAUUUUAAAAAAGGAUCUGCCGCUGCCUCGCGGCAUUGGGCUGUAAAUCGAGCGACGUGUUCGACCGUAUUUUCGGUCUCAUCGCGAGAAAUUUGUCAAAUUUCGGCAUCUUCCAAUUUGCCGGAUAGGGGUGUUCUACAUCUAUAUUAGCAGGAUAUGGUGAUCUAAAUACAGGCCGCAUUGCCGGCCUUGUGCCCACUCCGAACGUAUUUCGGAUGGCCUCUUCUAUUUGCGCAUAUAUCUCAUUAUUAAUUCCCUGCACAGGGACUUGCGCUGGUACUGGGUUCGGUAGUUGUUGCGCACCGAGAUUUGGUACCAAGGGAUUAAACCCUUGUACAUUCAAAGCCUGCCCCCUAGCCCCUACAUUUUGGGGCUGGUAAGCUGCAACUGGAGGGGGUGGAGGUAACCCCCAAGCCACUUCCGGCUGUUGACCGGCAUUACCAACAGCCGGUCUAUAAGCUGCUUGAUACUGUGCCCCCGGGUAUUGGGGCUGCCCAACUACCGGUGUUACUGGGUUCUGUAACACUGGCGUUAUCACAGGCGCUUGUAGGCCUGUUAUCGGCUGUUCAUUCCGAGCUAACAAUUGCCCUAUUCGGGCUAUGUUCUCGUUAGAGGCCGUGAUUGCGGCCAAAACGGCAUCCAGCCGUGCAGUACUUGCAUGACUAUUUUGGUCCAACGUUUGUGGGACCCGAGUCAUUUGACUGAGCGCCUGGGUCAAACUAGGCUCCUGUUGGCCAGAUUGACCACUGGUUUCACCCUCAGCAGGUAAAACUGCCUGUCUCUCUACGGCAUUCUCCGAAGAAUUUAUGGGAAUGGCCUUGUUACAGAGAUUCAUGGCAUUAUCAUCGGCCAUAUUUUAUAUAAAAUGCAAAUUUACCUUAAAAGAAUGGUCCCACCGAGCGUGCUAAAAAAUUGUUGGUGGCCGAAAGUCCCGGCCCGACCCGGUCAAGUAUUUCUCCUCGGGAAGGGCGUCGGGAUGAUGUGCGGCCGCGGAUGAUGACCCUCGAAGUUUGCGCCCACGACGGAUCAAGCGAUUCGGCCGAUGAGGGAUCGAACCAGUCGGGUUCAAAGUCCUCUGCAGUAAACUCUCUUCGGCAGGAUGAGCCGAAUGGAAGAGGAAAGCCCAGAAUUCGAUUGAGAGAUGAGCCAAAUGGCUAAACAACUCGAGAUCUAAUCGGCGGGAGGAGCCGAAGACGACUUUCUAUUGAAUAGCAAGAACAGGGGAGAAAGUACAAGAACAGGGGAAUGAUGCUCGGAGGGCAGACAGACCCCAAGUACAAGAACAGGGGAGUGAUGCCCGGAGGGCAGACAGACUCCGAGUAUGCUAAGUUAAGAGAACUACUCCUACGGAAAGCGAUAAAUGCAAGAAUAGAAAGAUGCAGGAAAAUAAAGGUGGUCUCUUGUGCGUAGGGGCGAAGACCCCUCUUUCAGGGUGCCGUAUGCCUAUUUAUGGGGUUGCCCUUGCAUUUAGUUAUUGUCACUGCACGAUCGGCCAUUAUCUCCUAAUUUGUAGGACCACCUCCGGCCGAUUGGAACUGCUCAUAACCGCUUGCGGUUCCUACGCUUUUUGAACAGACGCGGCUCAUAUCUUCUGGCGUGUCUUCUAUACUCCCGGUCCACCAUUUUGACAUGGACCAUGAAUGUAGUCCUGGCUUGCCAGCUGUCCGUGCCUAAUUGGCUCAACAACUAGUUUCAAGUGCCUCUUUAUGACACUUUUGUUCAACAAGUCCAAGCAUGAUAAGUAUGUUUAUAAUGUAUAAUUCUAACCAUUUCCAUCAUACAAAAUGAUUUCCCAACUCGCAACAAGAACCACUCCCCUCUGCAUGCUACCAACACAUAUAGCUCUACUAUAUAGAGUGAAAAUUUUAUGAUACAUAAGGCAUGUAUGUUAAGUGUUCUAAAAUUCUUCUAAAUCAUAAAUAGCAUGGAUUUGCACUUAGAAAUACUUUACGACGAGUAUAGAAAGCAUAGGGGCCAUUUUGCCCCGUGUUCAUGAAGCCAAACCCACCGAU
rnacentral:lncRNA from 1 species